CAUUGCAGAAGCUUGCAGAAAUUCACGGUAAUUCUUUAUUUGCAAUUGAUGAAGUACAUUGUGUUUCUAAAUGGGGUCAUGAUUUCCAUCCAGACUAUAGGUCUGUUUUUUAACCCCAGUGUAUCCUUACUGUUUAUGGCUUAUGGAGAUGAACUGGCUUGAUGAGUUUACUUAGAACAUCUUAAAUUGCAUAUUGAAGAAAGAUAGAUCAGUUAUUGGUUAAUUUGAUUGGUGAUCAUGCACAUUUCAUUUGUUCUUUGUUUGGUGCACACUUCACGUAUUAUUUAAUGUUUUUAGUCUAUUGUGAAUGUCAUAAAUAUGACCUGUUUUAAAAUGUUUGUUUUUGUUUCAGCCGACUGUCUGUGCUGAGGGAAAAUUUUAUUGCUAGUAAGCUAAAAUCCCUGUAAUUUGAGAGAUCAACAGAAACAAAUGUUGUUCUUACAUCAUUUUUUCGAUCUAAUUUAUGCUUCAUGGUAAAGGAUUAUCGAACAUCAAAGGCUUCUUAUGGAAAAGAUUUUUGUGAAUUGAUUAAAGUAUGUGGCAGAAAGGCAAAAUAUUGAUGGAAAUGGAAAGGCUUUCAUCUCAGAUGAUUCAGAUUAUGUUAUUAUAUAAUCAUUGAUUAUUCCUCUCUCUGAUGUCGCAAAUUCUUCUUUCUCACUUCAUUCACCUUCCUGAUUCUUCGCAGGUCAACAACGGCGUUGCUGCUUCAGAGUAACUAUGCUGCCAGCCAAUAAUUCCAACAAAUAGAGAAAUAUGUUCAUUUUUUGUAAUAAUUUUGUUCAUGCUGGUUUUGGCUUAAAGGUGGAUGAUGGCAUUUACUUACGACUCAUUUGUUUUAUGUGAUGAAUUAUGUCUUUUUCUAUUUAAUUUGAUUUGAUUUUGUCUGAUGGUA